rnacentral:tRNA from 2 species
GCGGACAUAGCUCAGUGGGAGAGCGCCGGUCAUAUGCGGACCGGAGGUCGCGGGGUCGAGACCCGCUGUUCGCG